rnacentral:lncRNA from 1 species
GUGGGUUAACUAUAAUUGCCAUCCCUAGUCAUUAACACCUUGGACAGCCCUUCACCUGCUAUUCAAAUAUUUUGCAAUAUCCAAACUUGAGAACAUCAUGAUUAUAUCUCAACUGAUAGAUUAUUUUGUAUAUAGGGAACUUCUAACUUCUUGCAUUAGAACUGUGAAUAAUAUAAGACCACACUUAUUCAGUUGACCUUUCCCUAGUCUUGCAUGACGUGAUCAGUUAAUUGCACAUACUUUUUUUUAUAGAAGUUAAUUGCACAUAGUUGUAACUAGUCUAUAUUAUGAAAUAAUAUCAAAAUUUUGGAU